rnacentral:rRNA from 1 species
GAUGAACGCUGGCGGCGUGCCUAACACAUGCAAGUCGAGCGAUUUACUUCGGUAAAGAGCGGCGGACGGGUGAGUAACGCGUGGGUAACCUGCCCUGUACACACGGAUAACAUACCGAAAGGUAUGCUAAUACGAGAUAAUAUGCUUUUAUCGCAUGGUAGAAGUAUCAAAGCUUUUGCGGUACAGGAUGGACCCGCGUCUGAUUAGCUAGUUGGUAAGGUAACGGCUUACCAAGGCGACGACCAGUAGCCGACCUGAGAGGGUGAUCGGCCACAUUGGAACUGAGACACGGUCCAAACUCCUACGGGAGGCAGCAGUGGGGAAUAUUGCACAAUGGGCGAAAGCCUGAUGCAGCAACGCCGCGUGAGCGAUGAAGGCCUUCGGGUCGUAAAGCUCUGUCCUCAAGGAAGAUAAUGACGGUACUUGAGGAGGAAGCCCCGGCUAACUACGUG